rnacentral:rRNA from 1 species
UACGAAGGGUGCAAGCGUUAAUCGGAAUUACUGGGCGUAAAGGGUGCGUAGGCGGUUCGUUAAGUCUGUCGUGAAAUCCCCGGGCUCAACCUGGGAACUGCGUCCGAUACUGGGAGGCUUGAAUCCGGGAGAGGGAUGUGGAAUUCCAGGUGUAGCGGUGAAAUGCGUAGAUAUCUGGAGGAACACCGGUGGCGAAGGCGGCUCACUGGGGGUCUUCUGACGCUGAGGAACGAAAGCCAGGGGAGCGAACGGG